rnacentral:lncRNA from 1 species
AGUUAUUUGUGCUAAGCAACAAACUGCCCUGGUCAUACAGAGACAAAAACAACUACCUCAAAUUUUUUUUUAAAAAUCUGAGAACACAAUAAGAAUUCGCAAUGAUAACAGAUUUAAGCACAGGGUGCUUUAAGAGGACAAGCACCAUUUUAAGCAGUCUAACCAAGUUAGUCAUUUCCCUUGUAUUAAUAAGUCAGGUCAAGGUUCAAACUUCUAGAAUAUAUGUUUAAGGGAUUUGACUUUCACACUAUCGUGAGAGCUACUUAAGUUAGACUGUUGUCUUUGUUUCUGAUGCUGAAGUCCAUCUGGCAGUCAAUUAAGGAAAGAUGGAUGCAAAGUGGAAGGCAGUAGGAAUGAUAGGAAUCAGGAAAGAUCACAGCCCAGACUGAAGCCCAUGUCAGUUUUUAUUGUCUCUGAUUUUAGUGAUGUAGUUGUCCUUCAUCACAAACGCCUGUUCCAAAAGUUAGAGGAAACUGAAGUUAUGAUCCAGGUUAAGUAUGGGAAGUUGCCAAGCUACCACUUUUGAGCCAACACAACAUGUACGAACUUCACAACCACACCCCACCCCCGAAUCUUGCUCAAGAGUCUUGUGCUAAGUUACGAUACACCUAUUCUAGUCACAUUUGGUAACUUCCUUAAAGUUACAAAUUUCAACUAAUUUUUUUUUUAUAAAUUUGUAUUAUUCUGGUUAGAUCAGAGAGAUUUGGCUUAGUGUUUUCAUUACAAAUUGUAAUUCCUAUAGAGCCACACACAUACAACUUUUGAACUUUUAAUUUCGCAAUAAGUAGUAAUGGCUAAAAUUUACUGAAAAUUUCAGUAAAAUGUGUG